GGGGGCGAUCUGGCUUCGACGGGUCGAAGAAGUCGGGCGCUGCGUGUCGAGGUCGUAGCCACCUCGUUAAACAGCUGCAGUCUGGUAGCUCAUAACUGCCGAUGACAACUACGCUCUCGCUGCCUAACUAACCCUUAGGAACUAGCGACACCCGUCCACGACGUCCUCUAGUGGGUCGCGGGUGCAAUCAGGGGACUGGCUCCCGAGCGCUGCUCGGCCGUAUCCGGGAGCGAGAUCACGUCGAGCUAGGGUGUGCUUGGCCGGUUCCCUCGCCUGGCACACCCGAAAUCAAGAGGGAACUACACACGUAGACGCGUCCGUUGGACGCGAUCCGGACGCGGGUUCGAUUCCCGCCGCCUCCACCA
rnacentral:tmRNA from 1 species